rnacentral:snoRNA from 1 species
CCUGCCCCUAGAGGCAUUGCAGAUGUGGCUGCUGUGCCAUAUGUGGCUGAGAGAAGAGAGACUAUGUCUAUACUCAGUGUUCUGGCCUAACGAGCAUCUAAAUGAUUAGUACCCUAACUUU